rnacentral:rRNA from 1 species
UACGUAGGGUGCAAGCGUUUGUCCGGAAUUAUUGGGCGUAAAGAGCUCGUAGGCGGUUUGUCGCGUCUGCUGUGAAAACGCGAGGCUCAACCUCGCGCCUGCAGUGGGUACGGGCAGACUAGAGUGCGGUAGGGGAGAUUGGAAUUCCGGGUGGAGCGGUGAAAUGCGUAGAGAUCCGGAGGAACACCGACGGCGCAGGCAGCGUCCUGGCCGCUUGCUGACACUGAGGCACGAAAGCUGGGGGAGCAAACAGG